AGUGAACGCUGGCGGUAGGCCUAACACAUGCAAGUCGAACGGCAGCACAGUAAGAGCUUGCUCUUACGGGUGGCGAGUGGCGGACGGGUGAGGAAUACAUCGGAAUCUACUUUUUCGUGGGGGAUAACGUAGGGAAACUUACGCUAAUACCGCAUACGACCUACGGGUGAAAGCAGGGGAUCUUCGGACCUUGCGCGAUUGAAUGAGCCGAUGUCGGAUUAGCUAGUUGGCGGGGUAAAGGCCCACCAAGGCGACGAUCCGCAGCUGGUCUGAGAGGAUGAUCAGCCACACUGGAACUGAGACACGGUCCAGACUCCUACGGGAGGCAGCAGUGGGGAAUAUUGGACAAUGGGCGCAAGCCUGAUCCAGCCUUACCGCGUGGGUGAAGAAGGCCUUCGGGUUGUAAAGCCCUUUUGUUGGGAAAGAAAAGCAGCAGGUUAAUACCCCGCUGUUCUGACGGUACCCAAAGAAUAAGCACCGGCUAACUUCGUG
rnacentral:rRNA from 1 species